UGUUGUUUAUUGCAGACGAAACCUUAGAAUGCAGUUAUCAUUUUGCACUAUGCACUAGAUAGCAAGAUUAUCCUUGAGCAAACGAAGAAGUGAAAUGCUGCCCUGAGUUCUGUUUUCACCAGAAGCUCCAUUCUUUUCUGUCUUAGCUCCCUUUGGUUUCUCAUUGUCGUCCUUGAAGUUUAUGCUGCCUAAAUCUUUUAAUAAAAUGGACGAAACUGGUAGAAGUCUCCUAG
rnacentral:misc_RNA from 1 species